GACAGAGGGUGCAAACGUUGUUCGGAAUUACUGGGCGUAAAGCGUGUGUAGGCGGCUACGCAAGUCGGAUGUGAAAGCCCCGGGCUCAACCCGGGAAGUGCACCCGAAACUGCGUGGCUCGAGUACCGGAGAGGUUGGUGGAAUUCUCGGUGUAGAGGUGAAAUUCGUAGAUAUCGAGAGGAACACCGGUGGCGAAGGCGGCCAACUGGACGAGUACUGACGCUGAGAACACGAAAGCGUGGGGAGCAAACAGG
rnacentral:rRNA from 1 species